UGAACGGCCACAUUGGGACUGAGACACGGCCCAGACUCCUACGGGAGGCAGCAGUGGGGAAUAUUGCACAAUGGGGGAAACCCUGAUGCAGCGACGCCGCGUGGAGGAAGAAGGUCUUCGGAUUGUAAACUCCUGUUGUUGAGGAAGAUAAUGACGGUACUCAACAAGGAAGUGACGGCUAACUACGUGCCAGCAGCCGCGGUAAAACGUAGGUCACAAGCGUUGUCCGGAAUUACUGGGUGUAAAGGGAGCGCAGGCGGGAGAACAAGUUGGAAGUGAAAUCCAUGGGCUCAACCCAUGAACUGCUUUCAAAACUGUUUUUCUUGAGUAGUGCAGAGGUAGGCGGAAUUCCCGGUGUAGCGGUGGAAUGCGUAGAUAUCGGGAGGAACACCAGUGGCGAAGGCGGCCUACUGGGCACCAACUGACGCUGAGGCUCGAAAGUGUGGGUAGCAAACAGGAUUAGAUACCCUGGUAGUCCACACCGUAAACGAUGAUUACUAGGUGUUGGAGGAUUGACCCCUUCAGUGCCGCAGUUAACACAAUAAGUAAUCCACCUGGGGAGUACGACCGCAAGGUUGAAACUCAAAGGAAUUGACGGGGGCCCGCACAAGCAGUGGAGUAUGUGGUUUAAUUCGACGCAACGCGAAGAACCUUACCAAGUCUUGACAUCCUGCGACGGUGCUGGAAACAGUACUUUCCUUCGGGACGCAGAGACAGGUGGUGCAUGGUUGUCGUCAGCUCGUGUCGUGAGAUGUUGGGUUAAGUCC
rnacentral:rRNA from 1 species